rnacentral:rRNA from 1 species
AACGAACGCUGGCGGCGGGCUUAACACAUGCAAGUCGAACGGUUGUAGCAAUACAGCAGUGGCAGACGGGUGAGUAACACGUGGGAACCUUCCUAGAGGUACGGAACAACGCAGGGAAACUUGCGCUAAUACCGUAUACGCUCGUGAGAGGAAAGAUUUAUCGCCUUUAGACGGGCCCGCGUCGGAUUAGGUAGUUGGUGGGGUAACGGCCUACCAAGCCGACGAUCAGUAGCUGAUCUGAGAGGAUGAUCAGCCACACUGGGACUGAGACACGGCCCAGACUCCUACGGGAGGCAGCAGUGGGGAAUCUUGGACAAUGGGCGCAAGCCUGAUCCAGCCAUGCCGCGUGAGUGAAGAAGGCCUUAGGGUUGUAAAGCUCUUUUGCCAGGGACGAUAAUGACGGUACCUGGAGAAUAAGCCCCGGCAAACUUCGUGCCAGCAGCCGCCGUAAAAC